rnacentral:lncRNA from 1 species
CGAGCACAGAGCUGCUCGGGCCCCAGCUGUGACAGGAGAACCACCUGCACACGAUCACCAGCUCACCUCCCUCAACCUCAGACUCCUGACACCGCGUCUGGGAGACUGAGCCUGGAGCUCCCACCUGCACCGAGAGGCUUUGUGCUGUGGUUUGAGGGCAGAGGGAAGAAACUGGGAGGGAGAGGGAGAAGACAUCAGACACACAGCAGAAGACACAGGAGCAGAUCUUUGGAGAUGGG